GGCGGUUCUUGGGUGACACACACUGGAAUCGGGCCCCCUCCUCUCUGGUUCUGGGGUGCAUCACCAGAGAACUGCU
rfam:Myotis brandtii contig166299, whole genome shotgun sequence.